GAUGAACGCUGGCGGCGUGCUUAACACAUGCAAGUCGAACGAAGCUUCCUUGCGGAUCCCUUCGGGGUGAAGGAAGGAAAGACUUAGUGGCGGACGGGUGAGUAACGCGUGGGUAACCUGCCCUUUACCGGGGGACAACAGCUGGAAACGGCUGCUAAUACCGCAUAAGCGCACAGGACCGCAUGGUCUGGUGUGAAAAACUCCGGUGGUAAAGGAUGGACCCGCGUCUGAUUAGCCAGUUGGCGGGGUAACGGCCCACCAAAGCGACGAUCAGUAGCCGGCCUGAGAGGGUGAACGGCCACAUUGGGACUGAGACACGGCCCAAACUCCUACGGGAGGCAGCAGUGGGGAAUAUUGCACAAUGGGCGAAAGCCUGAUGCAGCGACGCCGCGUGAGUGAAGAAGUAUUUCGGUAUGUAAAGCUCUAUCAGCAGGGAAGAAAAUGACGGUACCUGAGUAAGAAGCCCCGGCUAACUACGUGCCAGCAGCCGCGGUAAUACGUAGGGGGCAAGCGUUAUCCGGAUUUACUGGGUGUAAAGGGAGCGUAGACGGCGAGACAAGUCUGAAGUGAAAGCCCGCGGCUUAACCGCGGGACUGCUUUGGAAACUGCCUUGCUAGAGUGCAGGAGGGGCGAGUGGAAUUCCUAGUGUAGCGGUGAAAUGCGUAGAUAUUAGGAGGAACACCGGUGGCGAAAGCGGCCCGCUGGACUGUAACUGACGUUGAGGCUCGAAAGCGUGGGGAGCAAACAUGGAUUAGAUACCCUGGUAGUCCCCGCCCGUAAACGCAAUGAAUGCUAGGUGUAGGAGGUCUCCAUCCCCUUCUGUGCCGCAGUUAACACAAUAAGCAUUCCGCCUGGGGAGUACGGCCGCAGGUUGAAACUCAAAGGAAUUGACGGGGGCCGCACAGCAGCGGAAGCACUGGUUAUUCACGCAACGCAAAACUUACCAGUCUUGACAUCCAUUUAAAGCGUGUAGAGCAUACAGUGUGAGCUUGCUCGAAAUGAGACAGGUGGUGCAUGGUUGUCGUCAGCUCGUGUCGUGAGAUGUUGGGUUAAGUCCCGCAACGAGCGCAACCCUUGUGUUCAGUUGCUAACACGUAGAGGUGAGAACUCUGAACAGACUGCCGGGGACAACUCGGAGGAAGGUGGGGACGACGUCAAAUCAUCAUGCCCCUUAUGACCUGGGCUACACACGUGCUACAAUGGCCGUUACAAAGAGAAGCAAAAGAGCGAUCUGGAGCGGAUCUCAAAAAAGCGGUCUCAGUUCGGAUUGUGGGCUGCAACCCGCCCACAUGAAGUCGGAGUUGCUAGUAAUCGCGGAUCAGCAUGCCGCGGUGAAUACGUUCCCGGGCCUUGUACACACCGCCCGUCACACCAUGGGAGUUGGGAGUGCCCAAAGUCGGUGAGGUAACCGCAAG
rnacentral:rRNA from 1 species